ensembl:lncRNA
CAACAGAAACAGAUUGCAUGAACUCCUUCAGACAGAAGUGGGGAGCAUCUGUUUCCCAUGUUAUGGAAGGCUCAUGUUUCUCCUCCACUGUCUUCCUUGAACAUGCUCCAAUUAACAGAGGGAAAACAAAGGCCAAUAUUUACAUGGCCGUCCACUGCAGAGGCAUUUUAAAAGUCAAUAAUUUGCUGAGAAUGCUUGUUAUUAUGUGAAUAACAUGGGAAAUGAGUACGUUUUCAUGGUGGAAUUUUACAAUGUCAAGAUGACAGGUUAGUCAAUGAUCUUGUAUGUUGUAUGAAUCUAUCAAUAUUCCACCAAUGCAUUCCUUUAUUAAUCCCGAUGAUGUUUGUGUCAUACUGGGUGAUGUUUCCCUUGAUUAAUCGUGUCCUUUUUAAUGCCGGGCGAAGGGCUAUUUGAAAUCCCCACACAAAUGUUAAAGCCUUGCCUAUCUGUGCUAAAUGCAUUUCAGAAAUAUUUUCGAGGAGUGCGGGACUUAGGACAUUUUGAAUGCAAUUUUUUAUCAUCCCAGUCCUGCCGCUAUAGCGACAUAACACUUCAUGCCAUAAGCAGAGACAGUGGCGUGGUGUUUAAAAUCUGAUGAAGUCAUUUCACUCAAUAAAUAUGAUAUUUAUACAUAUGUAGUUAACAGGAAUAGCACAUCUAUCUUAAAUUAGAGAUUGAUCUACUUCCCUUGGUACAAAUGUCUGAUAUUGUAACGCUUGUCGUCUGGAGAUAGAGAGGAGGACCAAGGUGCAGCGUGGUAAGUGUCCAUAUUUUAAAUAUUUUAAUGAACACUGAAAACAAAACAAUAAACAACCAACGAACAGUUCUGUAAGGUGCAACACAACACUAAACAGAAAAUAACCACCCACAAAACACAAUGGAAAACAGGCUACCAAAAUAUGGUUCUCAAUCAGGGACAAUGAUGACAGCUGCCUCUGAUUGAGAACCAUACCAGGCCAAACACAGAAAUAGAAAAUCAUAGACAAACUAACAUAGACAACCCACCCAACUCAAGCCCUGACCAUACUAAAACAAAAGACAAAACAAAGGAACUAAGGUCAGAACCUGACAGAUAUCCCCUGAAAUUAACUUCCAACACCGUGUGGGUUGAUAAGCACACCUGAGGUACCACUGGCAUUGCACCAGACCAGUUGUUAUAUUAAUAUCUUCACAAAUCUUUUGGGAUCUGACACAGGCAGUACCUCACACACAGUACCAAUAACAUUGAGUUUUUGUAGCAUAUAUCUGGUGUCUUUGCAGAUUGACUGACAGGUGAACUUUUUUUUGGCAUGGCUAGCUAGCUACAUAGCUGGCUAAUGGUUUUAUUUGAAGAAUGUAUCUGGACACAGUACCGGCUUUGUUUUGCUUCACCUGGCUGCCAAUUCCUAAUCUUCUGCUAACAUCAUUUGAGGAGUCGCCUGAAGCGUAAGAGGAAUGGGAGACGGAGGAAUACAGCAGUGCUGAGGCAGAGGGCUGGUAGUGGACGACUGGCUACUAUUCUGAACUUUGUGUGGUGAGCUUUCUGGCACCCAGAGCUACCGAGGCAUCACCCAAGUUGGUGUUACACAGAGUGGAAGAGGAGAAGUCCAGCGGCUAUAAGAGACAGGCUGGUUUCCUGACUUGCCCUCUACAAGAUCAUCAGCGGGCUCCAUCACCAUCAUCUGCCAUCCUCUGACCAGAUCCCUACACUUGAGCCAUGAACUGACCCUCUCAAUCUUCGGAGGAUGCAGCUUACAAAGACUUGGCCUCUAUUGAGUGACCUGUCAUGACAUAUUGCUUGUUUUUUUGCUCUUAAAGCGCUUUGAAAUUCUCAGAUAAGCGCUAUAGAAAUGUAAUACAUUAUUAUUAUUAUUAUUAUUAUCAUCAUCAUUAGUGUUGGUCCAAGACAGACAAGCAUGUCAUCACUAACCCACAUGACCUAUCUGGAGAGGAAUGUUUUGUGCUGAAAACAAAGGGCAAUAUAUACCUUACUGUUGCGUAAUUCUCCUGAGGCUCAUGUCAUCAAAUAGCUAAUAAGUAGCACAAAACCAGUGAUACUUAAAAUAUCUAUGGAUAAAAGAAGUUAACACCAUUGCUGCAUGAAAAACAGACCAUGCUUUUGAAAAUGUGAAAACACUGAUUUGCAGGGCAAUAUUUCCAUAAUAUGUAAAGCACUAAAUGUUUUAAUUCACUGUAGAUUAGUUGGUCCACAGUAGAAAACUGUUCUGUAUUUAUUGUACUAUUAAGCUUUUAAAGAGGCCUAGCGGAUUAACCCUGAGCGUAAUUAUGUAC